GUAAAGGCUGUGAACAGGACUAGUAGACCUUUAAGCGAGGCUACAGAGAGUCAGUAGGGGUGAAAGCUGACGCUGGCGCAAAGGCUGAAUGGACCUGGGAGCCGCAAACCGAAAGGUUAGUGUAACUAAUACAAGUAGGCUUUGACGCAGAGGGUAGCGUUAUCACAACCCAGGGUAUCGCUGUGGGAAAGUAAAGCUGUACCUGAAUGAGAUGGUCGCCAAGACCAACAAGGGUGGCACCGCGAAGAUUAAGCCUCUCGCCCCUUAG
rnacentral:ncRNA from 1 species